CUUGCCCCUAGAGGCGUUGCAGACAUGACCGCGGUUUCAUGUUUGUGUCAUUAGGUGGCAUAGAGGAAUCACGGCUGCGUCUACGCUCGGUGCCCGUCAUGUGGGGACUAGGAAUGAUUUCCAGCCGGACAAU